AUACGUAGGGUGCAGGCGUUAAUCGGAAUUACUGGGCGUAAAGCGUGCGCAGGCGGUUUUGUAAGACAGAGGUGAAAUCCCCGGGCUCAACCUGGGAACUGCAUUAGUGACUGCAUAGCUGGAGUGCGGCAGAGGGGGAUGGAAUUCCGCGUGUAGCAGUGAAAUGCGUAGAUAUGCGGAGGAACACCGAUGGCGAAGGCAAUCCCCUGGGCCUGCACUGACGCUCAUGCACGAAAGCGUGGGGAGC
rnacentral:rRNA from 1 species